rnacentral:rRNA from 1 species
UACGAAGGGGGCUAGCGUUGCUCGGAAUGACUGGGCGUAAAGGGCGCGUAGGCGGCUUACAUAGUUAGGCGUGAAAUUCCUGGGCUCAACCUGAGGACUGCGUCUAAUACAUGUAGGCUUGAGUGUGAAAGAGGGUCGUGGAAUUUCCAGUGUAGAGGUGAAAUUCGUCGAUAUUGGAAAGAACACCGGUGGCGAAGGCGGCGACCUGGUUCAUUACUGACGCUGAGGAGCGAAAGCGUGGGGAGCAAACAGG